CCCAUCGAAGUGUUUUAUUAGGCGAAUUAAACAGCUUAAAGACGAUUCUCUUGUUCGGUACCCUUCUAGAAAAUAUUUCAAGUUUUAAAUGAACUUCCGAUACAUAAAACAAAAUUUACUUUACCAUAGACAAAUUUCAGAUCAAAAUACAACACUCUGUUUCUGUUUUCUUACAGUUAUAAAAGCCCGUCGAUACAAACUACAUAAAAAAGAUAAAACACUUUCACUGAUCCUUGGUACAAGAGAACAGCACAAUUGCAGUAUGUCCCCAAAGCACAAACCCUGUGCUCGUGAAACGGGAUCAACCCCACGGUUACCCCACAAUCAAAUGAAGCAGGUAAACAAAGCACGUGCUACUUAAUUCAAGAAGUUAACACACCCUCUUUGCAUCAGUAUUAUUUGUAAACCAUAAAGCGACUUGGUAAGAAAGGUUACUAAGUCCAAAUUACUUCAGCAUCACGAAAAUGUCAUACCGGCAACGGAAUAGAAAAUUACUUCUGCAGAACAAACGAAUCCACUUGGACCAGAGGAUGCUGGAGACAGGACGUUUCAAUGAAAGCACAUCACCGCAAUUUAUUUCUCUGCUAUCCUACUGAAUGCGGGGAGUCUAAUUCUACAGGUUGCAACUUCCCAGUGCUUCAAAGAGUUUAAACUUUCUACAUCAUGUCUUCUGUCUAGCUUAUGUAUAUAGCGCAUUGCAAAGCUCCGGUUUUCUCAGCAGCAGGUCUUUCUUUAAAAAUCUGGAUCCCUCAGUGCACACAACAUAACCUCAUCUAGGUACACGUCAACGUAGACUGCUCAACUUGGACCCUUACCAGAUAAUAAGAGCUGCAGGGUUUAAAUUAAAAAGCUAUUCUAUAGGCACACCAUGUCAGAAACUAAGAGAUACACUAACUAAGCAAAGAUCUGUGUUUAAGAGGAUGAAUUCUGAUACGGAACUUCGGGAAGUCGGUACUCAAGGACGCCAUGGUAUUAAAAGCAUCAAAAAGACGAAUCGAGAGUGUGCUACAACCUGACCAGGGUGACCGUCACGUACAGCGGCUGGUCCCAUGCAGACAACCCGUCAACGGGAGGGUUGCUGGUGGUUCUGCUGGACCAGAGCCUGCUGUGAAGGUGAGCCCUGAACUUGGGAGGGUCAAGCUGAAUUUACAGUCCUGUUUUAAGGAGUUCUCUUGGUCGUCUUCUCUCGGAGCAGAAGACGGCCCUGGUGAUAGAAAACGUUUAGAAUGAGUGAUGGAUGGACCUGGUUCACAGACAGGGACACGCAUCUCUGUCACCAGGAACGCACAGUGAGAAAGCGAAGUCUGCCAGAGCCUGCUUGAGGGGCUCCUAAAAGCCAGUGUCUGAGGAGCGGGGAGUGAAGGGGUGGGGUAGGGAGGGGCUCUUGUUUAAUCCACGGAUCCCUCCCAGCUCCGCUGCUGCAACUGCAGAAUGGGCUCUAACGGGUGUUCCAAAGUUCUGCCGAAAGCAUGGUUAUUUUUCAUGGUCGUCACAAUGCACAAAUGGUACGAUUCAGAGUGGAACAAGUGUCACGACGUCACUAGCGACGUGAAGGGGGACAGGAAGGAGGAACCACACAAAAGCUGGGUUAUAAGUGAGUCAAAAUGAGAGAAUCCCAUCAGCAGACAACGCCACUGACGCUCAAUUAAUUAGGGGAGCAUUGCUAACCGGCCCGCACUUUUCUCAUCCAGAGGCCACUUAAUACACUUCCCACCCUAAAGUAUCUCCUCGUGGAAUCUGGUGAUCUCCGAUGUCAUGCGCAACUAUCACAUGCAGGUUCCCCUACAGGAAAACGAUGCUGUAAACUCACCAAAAUUGGAGGCUUAUUUUUAAGGUGAUGACACCCUUUGGCCCCACGUACCAGAUCCUACGUAAUUUUUUACAAAAAGCAUAAAGAGUCAAAUUCAACGAGCGAAUGCAGAGAUGACAAGAGUACACUUAUUUUCUGGAGUUUCUUCUGAAGCAAAAAAAUCCUUUUGAAAAAAAAGCCAUGAGAAGAUGCUUCUCUUCUCGUACACAAGCAAUUCUGGUGUCUGAUUUUAGUCUCAGCUGGGAGUGCAGUGGGUUCUGAAGUCAGAGCUAAAGGAGAGGAGACACAGCCUUGCCCUGCUCUCAGGAACCCACGGGGGGUGGCAGACGCCGUGGGGCCUGCGUGGCGCCUGAAGGCCGGGUGCUGAGGUAGUGCGUGCGGCGUCUGGAGCCCCUCUGUCUGGCUCCAGGACAGAGCCCUGAGAACCUCGGGGGCAGAUGGGGAAGGGGCGGGGGGCAACUCGGGCCUCGGGGAGGCUGUUCUGGUCAAGCUGCUGAAGGAGCUCAAAGCUGCACUUGGCCACGCGGGGGGCUGGGGGAGGCCCCGGUCCCCCUCCCGCCCCCCGUUCUCACCCGGGAGGGGCAGAGUGGUGCAGCCUCUGGGAGCUGCCCGGGGUGACCCGCCUGGCUCCCUGGCAGCAGAAAGUGCUGGUCGCAAAGGCCAGGUCGGCGGCUCCCGGAAGAACGCCUUUCUCCAAGUAUUUUUAGGAUAAUGGUCUGGGGCACCAGAAGAGUCUCCCCUGCCUUUUUUGGGGGACACAUAAUUCAAGCAGUUAAAAAACCAGGCUGGGAGAGGGAAGGGGUGAGACGGUGGGACGCGAUGUCGGGAUUAGCCUGUAAGUCAGGGCGCUCUCAACACAUGACCCAAACCAUCUCCUUCCACCUGACUGAGCUCCUCGGCGGCCCAGCAAGGAGGCUCCACCUGCAGCCUGUGCGGGCAGAAGGGGACGCGGGGAAGAGAAUGAACACUGGUCCAAACAGGUUAUUCGACGGUGCAGACACCGAGGAGAUGGGGAGAAAACCCACAUGCCUGGGAGAGCAGAGCACACAGCUCCCUCCCUAAGACCAGAACCUGGACCUGGACGGGAACUGGGGGUGCCCUGGUCCCCACUUGUUCCCUCUGCUCUGGGGCAGGUGGAGUGGGGAAGAGACUCAGACUCAGACGGGGGAGUGACACCCUCCCUCUCCCUCCAGAACCAGGAGUGAGACUGAGGGGGAUGGGGUGGGGGUGGGGGUGGUCAGAGAAGGAGGAGAGGCAGAGCCCGAGGGGAGGCCGGUCCUCUGGCAACGCCUCUAAGGGAUGACACGGUAACCCUCCAGCAAGGGGACCCAGGCCUGGAGGUGGAGGGGCUGGAAGAGGUCGGCCCAGCCGGCUGCCCCCGCCCAUCCCCUGACAGCCUCUCAGGCCCCGGGGGCAGCCAGGCCCUGCUGAAAAGAUGGUCACUCGGCAGCUUUCCUAAGCCUGCAGAGAUCCUGAGAGAUUUAGGAAAAACAGCACAGAGAAAGCAGGAAUCACUGUUCUAGGUGACAGCACGGUUUGAGGGCGAUCUCUAGAAAUAUGUUUGUUUCUGAGGGUUCUGCUGCUGCAGCUGUGGCCAGAGUCAAGGGAAGGUGAGUGGGGGGGGGCAGCGGGACCGGGCGGCGGGGGGUGGGGGGUGGCAUGGCGAAAGGACAAAGACGCCUCUCAAAGACAAGGUGCGAGUUAGAGGACGAGCCUUGCUCGCCUUCCCACUUUGUCACUAACCUGCUCGCCCAACCUCCUGUCUGCAAGAAGCUUUGCGGACUGGGACCCCUCUCCUGGCACCAAGCAGGACUCCUCUCGCUGACACCGAGACCCUGGCAGUCCCGGGCGCUGGGGGCCACCGAGGGGAUGGCCCUCGGAGCUGAGCCCAGCGCUGCAGGGCCCGUUGUCUUACCAGGCAACUCUCGGUGACAGUUCUGAAGCUGAUGGACACGUCCUGCCUCUACAGCUUUUGUCUGGUGGCCUGAGCGAGGCGCUCUGCUCGUCCCGAGGGCCGGAGCCUGGCCGCCAACCCAGCUGCCAUCCUCCAGGUGGCCUCGAGGCUGGCUCAGCCUCUCUGGCGGAGGUGCGGGGCCCGGGGGCCCGGCGUGCGCGAAGCUGCAGAGCCACCUUUCUGGCUCCCGCCCCCACGCAGACCAGGGCACCGGGCUUGGGUGAAGCGGUUGGCUCAUGUUCACAUGAUCCGCGAUUCCCGCCUGCCCCGCUCUUUCUCUCCCCUUCACAUGGGAACCAUCUUCUCUGAACCUGGACAUGAGGCUACACUUAGCCACGUGAUUAGACUGUAAAAAGCACUGCAGAGCCUGGCACCCAGCGCUGAAUUCCGCCACCACUUUCCUCUGCUGUCUGUAUUUUUACACAAGUUACUAAUGAAAACGUUAAAAACAGACACUGCUCGAGUGGCUCCACCGACGACGCCAAGGCUGCGAUCGGGUCAGCGCUGCCCGGUACUUCUCAGCCCUCUCACGUCUGCUUCUACUUCCUUUUCUCAAUCACAAAAAUACCAGGAAUGACUUUAUCAAAUGUCUAACUGAAAUCAAGAUAAGCUGGGUAUGUCACGUACCUGCUAAAUCCGCCAGUCUGUGAUCUGAACUGGAGAGGAAGGGAUUUUAUAAAAGGAUUAACCAGUUCACUUUGGGGAUCAGUUUCUUAAAUAACCCUUCUUUAUCUGAAGGUACAGAAAUUACACACACAUACAACAUAAAGUUUGUUUUUAAGUUUCACAUAACAUUCAAGCUCAGGAGUUCCCUUCAUGGCUCAAUGGUUAACAAACCCGACUAGGAUGCGUGAGGAUGGGAGUUUGAUCCCUGGCUUCGCUCAGUGGGUUAAGGAUCUGGCAUUGCCAUGAGCUGUGGUGUAGAUUGCACAUGCAGCUCAGAUCCCGCGUUGCUGUGGCUGUGGUGUAGGCCAAUAACUAUAGCUCCGAUUCGGCCUCUCGCCUGGGAACUUCCAGGUGUCAUGUGAGGUGGCUCUAAAAAGCAAAAAAACCAAAAAACCAAAAAACAUCCAAGCUUAGAAAGCAUCGUUUAGGUCUACUGAUCUCAAACAGAGGUCUUAAAAUAUCCUUAUCUGACCAAUGAAGACAACUACCUUUGAUAUUUCAAGGAAAGAAGAAAAUUCCAACUUCAGGAAAGAGUUUUAAAUAUUAGAGUACUUCAUUAGGCAAAUCCUGAAAUAAGAGAUAUUUAUGACCACUCUAAACAUUCUAAACAUGUAUUUUGGGGUUUCUACUCUCUAGAGUUAUUGUGAAUUUAGGUAUUGGAGAAGCAGAGCAGAAUCACGGAUCCAGAAAUUAACUAAAUUUGUAAAAGCAAACGCACACAUACUAGUGGACCCUGGGGUGGCAGACAGGAGAAUGACAGGGCGCUGAGGCCAGAGUGGCUGGGGGCAGGCAGUGCGGGCCCCAAAGCUGCUGACGGCAUACGUCACUCCAGGCUGGUGGGUGGCAGCAGCAGCCACGGUCUUUAGUGGCCCAGUUCUCACCUUCCUCACUCUGCUGCCCCCUCUCAGCAAGCCUGGCAGGGAAACACCUGUUACCUGCUUGUACAGGGAAGAGCUGGAGCCUCAGGGUCAAAGGGCUUCCAAGCUCACAGAGCAGUCGGCGUCUUCAAGCCCACGUGCACCUGCAGCGAGACCCACGGGUGCUCAUGACCACUGGGCUCGCCUGGGACAGGACAUGGCCCAUUUACAGACACUGUCCUCAAAAAUAACUAAAAUGGGAAAGCUGGGGCUUUCGACGGGUGAGCCUCGUUUCUCAGGAAACCACUCGGGGGGAUCCCCCGUGACUGAUGCUGGACGUGCUGCCACCCGAGGAGAACUUAGCUGAACUCUGCCGUCGGCAGCAAGCCCUUUCGUCUAAAAAGCACGAGCAUAAAUGUGAUCUCUCAUUCAUGCACAGGGGCAGUUAAGGUUUUAGAUCUUACCCAGUAUGGAAGUUACGCCUCGUACACUAAGUUUUCAGGAAGGGGCAUAUCUCUUUUGAUCAUGAGUGGUACCGGGUAAUUCCUAGAAGAAAUCACCCCCAGGAGGGGUCUGUCUAUAAGAACUGAUGCCCCCACAGCUGCCCCUAACUUACCCCCCAGCUAAGCUGACACAUGCGGGGCGGACAGCGCCCACGUGUGCCCUGUAGAGGCGCUGCAGGGGGAAGCUGGGGACGCUCCACGGACACAAACCGAAGCUGAUAGCUCGUGAUGGUAAGUAUACUUCGAUACUGUGUUGUUCGGUCACCUCAAACCUGCACUUUGGGAACACGCCAGUGUUUCCUUUUCAAACCCCAGGUUGUGAGAACUAAAAGAGGACAGGAGCUUUGUGAUGAGCCCUCUGCUUCCAUCAAAAUUAAGAUUCUUGGGAAACAAAUUCACGAAAACACUCAAGAGAUCCUUAAAAUGCUAUCCGUAGCACCUUAUAGAAAAUGAAACACAGUGGCCCCACGCAUCAAAAUUCCAAGCACUGGGUCCAAUUACAGAGAAAAAAAAUGUCUCCUGUCUGAUCCCACCGAGGAUGGCAAUGAAGCCGUCUAUUUGCCACACAGCAGUGGCGUUUAAAUAUACAGCUUUUCUACGUUAUGAAAACACAGCCUUGUAAAGACUCUUUAAAGUUCAAGUCGAGUUUCAAGUAAUCACUUUGCAGCAGCUCUAGGAGAAUUAUUGUUCCUUCUGAUUAAAAGUGCCU
rnacentral:lncRNA from 1 species